rnacentral:lncRNA from 9 species
UUGCCAGAAAGAAAUGUAACCCUCUAAGUACAGUAACGUAAACCAGAAGAAUGUGAUUCUGAUGACACUCUUAUCCCAUCCUGUGAACAAACGUUCGGGAGAAGUGAAAGAACCCCAUGGGAUAAAAGGGAGCAAAGAUGGUCCUGGAUGCCUUAAGAGGGAAACGUUGAACACCACAUAAAUAAAGGUUGACUUGGUGCAGAAGUGUACAGUGCCAUGUCCCUGCAUCUUCAUGGAGAAAUGUAUUCUUUCCACAUGAGAAGCAACACCGUCCAUGGUUAAUGCUCCAAGGAUAUCUAGGCUGCCAGUCGAGCUGCUACCUGGCUUCAUUUCACAAUACGUCCCUGGGAAGAUCCUUUCUCAAGACAAAAAUCCAGUGUCAUCCUCCAUCAGAAGGAAAUAACUGUCUCCCAAAGCUGCUUUCUCUGUGGACAAAGUAGCGGUGUUGGAAGUAGCAGACAGGAUAGGAAACUCACAAUGUUUUCUCCACACAAAAGGGAAUGUGAUGGAGAAGAACUUCACAAGGCGGAAGUUUCAAUGGUGUCAAUGGAAUUUAGCUGCAGGCAAUAAAUCAGUAACAUCUUUGAUUCAUUAGGGAUAAUUCAGCAGAAGCUCUUCGAUGAUCAGUGCUAACAGAGGCAUACCUCCUAUCCUUUAAACUCCACCAUCAGUCACAAGGAGGGACUGGCCCCUGGCCGUGUGGGGACAGUGUGGGGCCGUGGAUCACAGCCACCCUCUGUCGAGUGCUUCCU